UUCAAUAAAUAUUUUUAGAAUAAACUGGGCUCAAAAUAACAUUUUAUAUUCUGUGUGGUUCAAGAGUUUUUCUUGUUCCACACGAUCCACAGCGCUUUGAAAGCUAAUUUAAUAGCCAUGUCCUGCUGCCCUCUCAUUCAAUUUAGUCGAAGCUAUCAAUUUCACUUGAGACAAUACAUACAAAUUUUUCGGUUGAAAAAUUACUGUACCAACUACAUAAAUACCGACCGAUUUAAAUGAAAAGUGAUACAAG